GUAAACUUUUGCAGCAAUAAAUAAUUUAGUUAGCUUUUUUUAAUUAAUUUAUUUUUUGGAUUUUUUACAUUUUAAGCACUAAAUUAAAUUUGAACAUAUUAGAACUUUACAUUGUUCUUACUGUCAAGCUCCAUAAUUGCAUUCAUUGUAAACUCCAAAGUCGUUAAAUCUGAAAUCAUUCUGAAUGUAUUUAUGAACUCACUGGUAUAUGUUCACUAAAUCUGUAUAGCAC